rnacentral:rRNA from 1 species
CGCAGCCAGMUGCGAGAUUUGGUGUGAAUUGCAGGACACAUUGAGCACUGAUUUUUCGAACGCACAUUGCGGCCUCGGGCUUCUGCCCGGGGCCUCGCCUGUCUGAGGGUCGGAUAAGACUUGCAAAGGAAAGAAAAAAUUUCCAAUUGGCCGCGUCGGGGACGAGUGGGCGUCCUCGUCGGCUUGAAUGAUGAUAGGUUCCUCCCCGGUCGAGAGAGCUCAAGCCCUAGUGCAUGCUCGUCGCUCGGAGAAGACGGACAACGUUUCUCCACGAAGACGAGACGGUUUGAUGCCGAGAAGACCCGAAGGUGGGAGACAUUAUAAAUWAAAAAAACCUACGUCGAGACCUAAGGUGGGGGUCUGUUCGACAAUCAUUUUUACUUUGACGACCUCAGAUCAGACGAKAUGACCCKCWRAWUUUAARCAUAUC